GGUACAAAGCGGCGACUGAACUCUUCAAUAAGAUGCACUUUUGCAUCUUCCGCGCCCCCAUGUCUUUCUUUGAUUCCACUCCAAGCGGACGAAUCCUGAACAGAGUAAGUGCAUAUAUAUUAUGUAUAUAUUGAUCACUUAAGAUUGCAAUAUUUGUGGAUCAAGCUGCGUUAUCUAUUUGAUUAGCAUGAGAAGGAAAAAGACAAAGAAGGGAAGAGGAGAAUGAGCAAAAAGUUGUUUAUUUGAUUUCAUUUACUUAUCCUAAUUCUUUCUUUCUUUUAGGCUUCUACAGACCAAAGUGCUUUAGAUAUGAACAUUCCAUAUCAAGUUGGGAGUUUUGCUUUCUCCAUGAUCCAGCUCCUAGGCAUCAUUGCAGUUAUGUGUCAGGUUGCGUGGCAGGUUUUCAUUGUUUUUAUCCCUGUCGUUGUUGCCUGCAUCUGGUACCAGGUAAUCUUCAUCUGCUUCUCAGACUGGUUAAUCUAGGGCUUCAGUACCAAAAGAUAUCAUGUUUUAUUUCCUCAUUGAAGCUCUCUUUGAGGCUUUUAAUUUAUGAGCAUAUUAUACUGUACCACACAAAGGAUAUUGGAUUUUUACAAGCUUAAUUACAACUAUGCAGCAAUACUACAUUCCUUCAGCACGAGAGCUUUCAAGGCUGGUUGGAGUAUGCAAAGCCCCUGUGAUACAACAUUUUGCUGAAACAAUUUCAGGAUCAACAACUAUCAGGAGCUUUGAUCAAGAGACAAGAUUCUGUAACACUAACAUGAAGCUUAACGAUGGGUAUUCUCGGCCAAAGUUCCAUAUUGCUGGUGCCAUGGAAUGGCUGUGCUUCCGCCUUGAUAUGCUAUCUUCUGUUACAUUUGUGUUCUCCUUGGUUUUCUUGAUCUCUAUUCCAGAGGGAGUUAUUGACCCGAGUAAGUGAUUGAACUAGUGUCUAACUAAACUUCCUCCUCAUCGCUUACAAUAAAUGACCAAGUAAGAUGUUAAAUCAUAUUUUGUUUGUUUUUCCCCUUCUUUUAAAGGCAUUGCAGGCUUAGCUGUGACUUACGGGCUCAAUCUAAAUAUGUUGCAAGCUUGGGUGAUAUGGAAUCUUUGUAAUCUUGAGAACAAAAUUAUAUCAGUUGAAAGAGUUCUGCAGUAUACAAACAUUCCUAAUGAACCACCUCUUGUAAUAGAAGGAAAUCGACCAGGCCAUUCCUGGCCAGCUCAAGGAGAAGUUGCUAUCUUUGAUCUCCAGGUAAACUUACUAGCUUUUUAAUUGGCUCGCCCGACCAAUUUUUGAUUCAUUCAUCAAAUGAUUGGGUUCUUGUACUGUGUAGGUCCGGUAUGCCCCACAUAUGCCACUUGUGUUGCGAGGUUUAACUUGCACACUCCCAGGAGGGCUGAAAACUGGAAUUGUAGGAAGAACAGGCAGUGGUAAAUCAACUCUCAUUCAGACGCUUUUCCGAAUUGUUGAACCUACAGCUGGUUAUAUUGUGAUAGAUGGCAUAAAUAUCUCAACCAUUGGACUGCAUGAUUUGCGGUCAAGGCUGAGCAUUAUUCCCCAAGAUCCAACAAUGUUUGAAGGCACACUUCGAAGCAAUCUGGAUCCUCUUGAAGAGUACACAGAUGAACAGAUAUGGGAGGUAAGUUGGUUUUUAGUCUUUAAUUAAGCAACUUUUCUUUAUUUUGUUUCUUCUAAAGUCAGUUCUGAGGCUGGAAAUUGAAGGUUAGCAUCUGCUAACACAUGUUUUGGUUGUUUUUAGGCUCUAGAUAGGUGCCAACUUGGAGAUGAAGUUAAGAAGAAGGACGGAAAGCUAGACUCCAUAGGUUUGUCUUUGUAUCUAAUCUCAACAUGCUAGCCUCACUGACAAUAUUAAAAUAUAUCAACUAACAAUAUAAAGUUAUCAUAUGGCAGUUACGGAGAAUGGAGAGAAUUGGAGUAUGGGUCAGAGGCAGCUGGUCUGUCUUGGGGCGUGUACUACUUAAAAGAAGUAAAGGUGUUGGUUCUCGAUGAAGCCACUGCAUCUGUUGAUACAGCAACUGAUAAUCUAAUUCAGACUACUCUUCGGCAACACUUUUCUGACUGUACAGUCAUUACAAUUGCCCACAGGAUAACUUCUGUUCUUGACAGCGACAUGGUUCUACUUCUAAGUAACGGUCAGUAAGCCAUAUCAUUCCUUUGUUAUUUGGAUUCUGUGGAUAUAUAACACAUUUUAGUUUUGAUGCAGGCCUUAUUGAGGAAUAUGAUUCUCCAUCCAGAUUACUAGAAGACAAGUCUUCAUCGUUUGCACAGCUUGUAGCAGAGUACACUAUGAGGUCAAAUUCCAAUUUUGAGAAGGCAAAGUGAUGAUUAGUAUACAAACAACAAGUUUUAAUUGAUGAUGACGAAAUCAAUAGCAUCGAGGGGCUUCAUAUAAUACCACACCAACUUAUCUCUUGUUGGAAUGCAAUGUAUUCGUAAUAAGUGUAAACUUCCGUAGAUGCUUAAUUAUGUAAUACGUUACAGCUGAAUUUUGUAUCAUUUCUGCUUUAUGUUUGCAAUAGACACAGUAAUUCUAAAGUAAAAAAAAAAGAAAAACACAAUUGAAAAUUUUAGUUUUUUUCUCUUUAACACUUAAAUUACAUGUAUAUAAUUGAGAUUGUAAUGCAAUCACAAUUACUAGUGUAAUAUCCUUUUGCUAACAACAUUAUUUCCACUUUGGAUAAUCUCCAGUUGCAAAGAAAAUUCCCUGAAAUCGGUUUCUGGGAUAUAGUGAAUCAUAUUUGAAUUCGACUUUACUCAAAUUAAAUCUCCGGCUUUCCAAAGCUUGAAAAAUUUUCUAGGUUCUCCAUUCAACAGCUUCUUGAUUUGAGUAACAACAAACAAGAAGGCCUGCCUAUUUGCAACUCAAUCUUUGAUCUGGUGAACCCUAUUGAUGUCUAUCUCUCCUCGGGUAACUUCUCUAGGUUUGAAGAGGUUGACAAAACAUCAAACCUCAACAAUCAAUAAGUGAUAGAUUUGAGUAACAACUAAAUUUCAAUGGAUAUUCUGAGCUCAAAUCCCUAGAGCCAACUAAUCUAUGCAAUGUGGAAGGAAAUUAUUGUCCUUUCCAGAACAAAAUCCUGAAGGGUACCUCUGCAAACUGUAUCAAUACCCUCAGCAUUAGACACAGGUUUGAUUUGGUCAGGACUCCCGUAAUUUGUUUCGUUGGGAAAUAGAGUUUUUCCAUCUUCAAUGCAACUGGAUCUUGUUUCGUUGCAGUUACUGCAGCUACAAUCUCAUUCCUAACUUGAAAGCUUCUUUUAAAAUGAUGAUUUCACGAACAUACAUUCGACAACUGAGAAUCAUUAUCAUCUUCACAGCUAUUGAGCUCACAAACAACAAGCUCGAGACAGCAAUUCGUUAAUCCAUCUGUGAUCUACUUAUGCAUAACUUUUCAAGCAACUCUUUCACAGGCCAGAUUCCAUUACCAUCGAGGGGAACUAUCCGACCUCAACUCACCGAAUUUAUCACAACUUCCCUCACAACCAACUUGCAGGUCUAAUACCACAGAGCAGAUAGUUAGGAAUCGUCGCUAGCUCAUUUUUUGCAUCGUCGUUUCUGGUACUAGGAAUACAAACUCUUAAAAACUCUCAACGAAGUAGAAAACCUAGCUCAUUAAAUUAUGAAAUAUAAUGCAAUCGAAUCUAUAUGCGUGCGUAUAUAUGUAAAUAUCAUUACCUGAUACGAAGCUCUGUGCCGAAUUUGUGAAACGUGAUGUGCAAGCAGGAGGAUGUCGUCCGUCAUCUUUCUCCAUUACCGGAACACGUACGCCCCCGAAACCUCUACCAGCUUGACCUUGUGGAAGCCGCGGACCGCCGUCCUCCGAUCUUCGAUGACUCCCGCUCUGUAGUUCAUUACGAAAAUUUAUGAUCUUU
rnacentral:lncRNA from 1 species